GGCAGUGUGGGAUAGUGAUUUGAGUGUUGGACUAUGACUCUGGAGGCCAGGGUUCAAUUCUCUGCUCAGCCA